AGCGUACACGGUGGAUGCCCUGGCAGUCAGAGGCGAUGAAGGACGUGCUAAUCUGCGAUAAGCGUCGGUAAGGUGAUAUGAACCGUUAUAACCGGCGAUUUCCGAAUGGGGAAACCCAGUGUGAUUCGUCACACUAUCAUUAACUGAAUCCAUAGGUUAAUGAGGCGAACCGGGGGAACUGAAACAUCUAAGUACCCCGAGGAAAAGAAAUCAACCGAGAUUCCCCCAGUAGCGGCGAGCGAACGGGGAGCAGCCCAGAGCCUGAAUCAGUGUGUGUGUUAGUGGAAGCGUCUGGAAAGGCGCGCGAUACAGGGUGACAGCCCCGUACACAAAAAUGCACAUGCUGUGAGCUCGAUGAGUAGGGCGGGACACGUGGUAUCCUGUCUGAAUAUGGGGGGACCAUCCUCCAAGGCUAAAUACUCCUGACUGACCGAUAGUGAACCAGUACCGUGAGGGAAAGGCGAAAAGAACCCCGGCGAGGGGAGUGAAAAAGAACCUGAAACCGUGUACGUACAAGCAGUGGGAGCCUCUUUAUGGGGUGACUGCGUACCUUUUGUAUAAUGGGUCAGCGACUUAUAUUCUGUAGCAAGGUUAACCGAAUAGGGGAGCCGAAGGGAAACCGAGUCUUAACUGGGCGUUAAGUUGCAGGGUAUAGACCCGAAACCCGGUGAUCUAGCCAUGGGCAGGUUGAAGGUUGGGUAACACUAACUGGAGGACCGAACCGACUAAUGUUGAAAAAUUAGCGGAUGACUUGUGGCUGGGGGUGAAAGGCCAAUCAAACCGGGAGAUAGCUGGUUCUCCCCGAAAGCUAUUUAGGUAGCGCCUCGUGAAUUCAUCUCCGGGGGUAGAGCACUGUUUCGGCAAGGGGGUCAUCCCGACUUACCAACCCGAUGCAAACUGCGAAUACCGGAGAAUGUUAUCACGGGAGACACACGGCGGGUGCUAACGUCCGUCGUGAAGAGGGAAACAACCCAGACCGCCAGCUAAGGUCCCAAAGUCAUGGUUAAGUGGGAAACGAUGUGGGAAGGCCCAGACAGCCAGGAUGUUGGCUUAGAAGCAGCCAUCAUUUAAAGAAAGCGUAAUAGCUCACUGGUCGAGUCGGCCUGCGCGGAAGAUGUAACGGGGCUAAACCAUGCACCGAAGCUGCGGCAGCGACGCUUAUGCGUUGUUGGGUAGGGGAGCGUUCUGUAAGCCUGCGAAGGUGUACUGUGAGGUAUGCUGGAGGUAUCAGAAGUGCGAAUGCUGACAUAAGUAACGAUAAAGCGGGUGAAAAGCCCGCUCGCCGGAAGACCAAGGGUUCCUGUCCAACGUUAAUCGGGGCAGGGUGAGUCGACCCCUAAGGCGAGGCCGAAAGGCGUAGUCGAUGGGAAACAGGUUAAUAUUCCUGUACUUGGUGUUACUGCGAAGGGGGGACGGAGAAGGCUAUGUUGGCCGGGCGACGGUUGUCCCGGUUUAAGCGUGUAGGCUGGUUUUCCAGGCAAAUCCGGAAAAUCAAGGCUGAGGCGUGAUGACGAGGCACUACGGUGCUGAAGCAACAAAUGCCCUGCUUCCAGGAAAAGCCUCUAAGCAUCAGGUAACAUCAAAUCGUACCCCAAACCGACACAGGUGGUCAGGUAGAGAAUACCAAGGCGCUUGAGAGAACUCGGGUGAAGGAACUAGGCAAAAUGGUGCCGUAACUUCGGGAGAAGGCACGCUGAUAUGUAGGUGAAGUCCCUCGCGGAUGGAGCUGAAAUCAGUCGAAGAUACCAGCUGGCUGCAACUGUUUAUUAAAAACACAGCACUGUGCAAACACGAAAGUGGACGUAUACGGUGUGACGCCUGCCCGGUGCCGGAAGGUUAAUUGAUGGGGUUAGCGCAAGCGAAGCUCUUGAUCGAAGCCCCGGUAAACGGCGGCCGUAACUAUAACGGUCCUAAGGUAGCGAAAUUCCUUGUCGGGUAAGUUCCGACCUGCACGAAUGGCGUAAUGAUGGCCAGGCUGUCUCCACCCGAGACUCAGUGAAAUUGAACUCGCUGUGAAGAUGCAGUGUACCCGCGGCAAGACGGAAAGACCCCGUGAACCUUUACUAUAGCUUGACACUGAACAUUGAGCCUUGAUGUGUAGGAUAGGUGGGAGGCUUUGAAGUGUGGACGCCAGUCUGCAUGGAGCCGACCUUGAAAUACCACCCUUUAAUGUUUGAUGUUCUAACGUUGGCCCCUGAUCGGGGUUGCGGACAGUGUCUGGUGGGUAGUUUGACUGGGGCGGUCUCCUCCUAAAGAGUAACGGAGGAGCACGAAGGUUGGCUAAUCCUGGUCGGACAUCAGGAGGUUAGUGCAAUGGCAUAAGCCAGCUUGACUGCGAGCGUGACGGCGCGAGCAGGUGCGAAAGCAGGUCAUAGUGAUCCGGUGGUUCUGAAUGGAAGGGCCAUCGCUCAACGGAUAAAAGGUACUCCGGGGAUAACAGGCUGAUACCGCCCAAGAGUUCAUAUCGACGGCGGUGUUUGGCACCUCGAUGUCGGCUCAUCACAUCCUGGGGCUGAAGUAGGUCCCAAGGGUAUGGCUGUUCGCCAUUUAAAGUGGUACGCGAGCUGGGUUUAGAACGUCGUGAGACAGUUCGGUCCCUAUCUGCCGUGGGCGCUGGAGAACUGAGGGGGGCUGCUCCUAGUACGAGAGGACCGGAGUGGACGCAUCACUGGUGUUCGGGUUGUCAUGCCAAUGGCACUGCCCGGUAGCUAAAUGCGGAAGAGAUAAGUGCUGAAAGCAUCUAAGCACGAAACUUGCCCCGAGAUGAGUUCU
rnacentral:rRNA from 1 species